rnacentral:tRNA from 2 species
GCUGAGAUGGCAGUAAGUGCGGUAGGUUGUAGCCCUAAUAACACGAUAAAUAUCGUUCUUGGUA